AGCGGCGGACGGGUGAGAAGGGGGGGUUUGUGGUAGAGUGGGGGACAACUGCUGGAAAGGAGGGGGGGGGGGGGGACGCCCUAAGGGGGAAAGGCUUCGGCCGCUCAAUGAGAAGCCCGCGUACGAUUAGUUUGUUGGUGGGUUAAUGGCCUACCAAGACUACGAUCGUUAGCUGGUCUGAGAGGACUAUCAGCCACACUGGGACUGAGACACGGCCCAGACUCCUACGGGAGGCAGCAGUGGGGAAUAUUGGACAAUGGGCGAAAGCCUGAUCCAGCGAUGCCGCGUGAGUGAAGAAGGCCUUAUUGUUGUAAAGCUCUUUCGGUGGGGAAGAUAAUGACGGUACCCACAAAAGAAGCCCCGGCUAACUCCGUGCCAGCAGCCGCGGUAAUACGGAGGGGGCAGCGUUACUCGGAAUUACUGGGCGUAAAGUUUGCGUAGGGGGUUUAAUAAGUUGAGGGCGAAAGCCCGGGGCUCAACCCCGGAAAUGCCCUCAAAACUAUUUGACUAGAGGACGGGAGAGGGGGGUGGAACUCCCAGUGUAGAGGUGAAAUUCGUAGAUAUUGGAAGGAACACCGCUGGCGAAGGCGACCCUCUGGACCGUUUCUGACGCUAAGGCUCGAAGGCGGUGGGAGCAAACAGGAUUAGAUACCCUGGUAGUCGACGUCGU
rnacentral:rRNA from 1 species